rnacentral:rRNA from 1 species
CCCCUAGUAACUGCGAGUGAAGCGGGAAAAGCUCAAAUUUGAAAUCUGGCGGUUCCGCCGUCCGAGUUGUAUUCUGGAGAAGCGUCUUCCGCUCCGGACCGUGUACAAGUCCCUUGGAACAGGGCGUCAUAGAGGGUGAGAAUCCCGUCUUUGACACGGACCCCCGGUGCUAUGCGAUGCGCUCUCGAAGAGUCGAGUUGUUUGGGAAUGCAGCUCAAAACGGGUGGUAAAUUCCAUCUAAAGCUAAAUAUUGGCGAGAGACCGAUAGCGAACAAGUACCGUGAGGGAAAGAUGAAAAGCACUUUGGAAAGAGAGUAAAACAGUACGUGAAAUUGUUGAAAGGGAAACGCUUGAAGUCAGUCGCGUCUGCCGGAACUCAGCCUUGCUUCUGCUUGGCGCACUUUCCGGUCUGACGGGCCAGCAUCGGUUUCGAGCGGCGGACACUGGCGUGGGGAAGGUGGCAGCUCCGGCUGUGUUAUAGCCCCGCGUCGCAAACGUCGCCCGGGACCGAGGAAUCCGGCGCAAGCCUGGGAUGCUGGCGUAAUGGCUUUAAACGACCCGUCUUGAAACACGGACCAAGGAGUGCUACGUGCUCGCGAGUGUUUGGGUGGAAAACCCGGACGCGCAAUGAAAGUGAAAGUCGAUACCCCUUGUCCGGGGGCACCGACGCCCGAGCCUGAUGUUUUCGGACGGCCUUGCGGUAGAGCGAGUGCGUUGCGACCCGAAAGAUGGUGAACUAUUCCUGAGGAGGGCGAAGCCAGAGGAAACUCUGGUGGAGGCUCGUAGCGGUUCUGACGUGCAAAUCGAUCGCAGGACUUGGG